rnacentral:lncRNA from 1 species
AAAAUGGCGGCAGCGAUGGAUGUGGAUACCCCGAGCGGCACCAACAGCGGCGCGGGCAAGAAGCGCUUUGAAGUGAAAAAGUGGAAUGCAGUAGCCCUCUGGGCCUGGGAUAUUGUGGUUGAUAACUGUGCCAUCUGCAGGAACCACAUUAUGGAUCUUUAGACGGGAUCUCGCUUUGUUGCCCAGGCUGGUCUCGAACUGGCUUCAAGUGAUCCUCCCACUUUGGCCUUCCAAAAUGUUGCGAUUAUAGGCGUGAGCCACUGUGGCUGGCCUGAAAUUUUCUAGUAUCCACAUUCAUAAAGUAAAAAGAAAAUAAAAAGGCAUAGAAUGUCAAGCUAACCAGGCGUCCGCUACUUCAGAAGAGUGUACUGUCGCAUGGGGAGUCUGUAACCAUGCUUUUCACUUCCACUGCAUCUCUCGCUGGCUCAAAACACGACAGGUGUGUCCAUUGGACAACAGAGAGUGGGAAUUCCAAAAGUAUGGGCACUAGGAAAAGACUUCUUCCAUCAAGCUUAAUUGUUUUGUUAUUCAUUUAAUGACUUUCCCUGCUGUUACCUAAUUACAAAUUGGAUGGAACUGUGUUUUUUUCUGCUUUGUUUUUUCAGUUUGCUGUUUCUGUAGCCAUAUUGUAUUCUGUGUCAAAUAAAGUCCAGUUGGAUUCUGG